rnacentral:rRNA from 1 species
AACGAACGCUGGCGGCAUGCCUAACACAUGCAAGUCGAACGAGACCUUCGGGUCUAGUGGCGCACGGGUGCGUAACGCGUGGGAACCUGCCCUUAGGUUCGGAAUAACUCCCCGAAAGGGGUGCUAAUACCGGAUAAUGUCUUCGGACCAAAGAUUUAUCGCCUUUGGAUGGGCCCGCGUUGGAUUAGCUAGUUGGUAGGGUAAAAGCCUACCAAGGCGACGAUCCAUAGCUGGUCUGAGAGGAUGAUCAGCCACACUGGGACUGAGACACGGCCCAGACUCCUACGCGAGGCAGCAGAGGGGAAUAUUGGACGAUGGGCGAAAGCGUGAUCCAGCAAUGCCGCGUGAGUGAUGCAGGCCUUAGGGUUGUAAAGCUCUUUUACACGGGAUGAUAAUGACAGUACCGGGAGAAUAAGCUCCGGCUAACUCCGUG